AUACGGAGGGUGCGAGCGUUAAUCGGAAUUACUGGGCGUAAAGCGCGCGUAGGCGGUUUGUUAAGUCGGAUGUGAAAUCCCCGGGCUCAACCUGGGACCUGCAUCCGAUACUGGCAGGCUAGAGUCUGGUAGAGGGGGGUAGAAUUCCUGGUGUAGCGGUGAAAUGCGUAGAUAUCAGGAGGAAUACCAGUGGCGAAGGCGGCCCCCUGGACUGAGACUGACGCUGAGGUGCGAAAGCGUGGGGAGCAAACAGGAUUAGAAACCCGAGUAGUCC
rnacentral:rRNA from 1 species